UACGUAGGUGGCAAGCGUUGUCCGGAUUUACUGGGCGUAAAGGGAGCGUAGGCGGAUUUUUAAGUGGGAUGUGAAAUACUCGGGCUCAACCUGAGUGCUGCAUUCCAAACUGGGAAUCUAGAGUGCAGGAGGGGAGAGUGGAAUUCCUAGUGUAGCGGUGAAAUGCGUAGAGAUUAGGAAGAACACCAGUGGCGAAGGCGACUCUCUGGACUGUAACUGACGCUGAGGCUCGAAAGCGUGGGGAGCAAACAGG
rnacentral:rRNA from 1 species